UGGCUGGACCUCGACCCGGACCAGGGGCGUUGGCUGGACCUCGACCCGGACCAGGGGCGGUGGCUGGACCAGGAGCAGCACAGCAGCUUGAAGACGUGGACGUGGACCCUGGGCUCAAAGUUUCUUCAUCUUUAAGAGGACGGACGACCUGGUGGCCGACAGCAGACAGGAGUAGAGGGACACCGCUGGCAACUAACCCUAGACCUAGACCACCUAAACUAGACUUAAACCAUCUAACCCCUCAACCUAAACUAGCCUUAAACCAUCUAACCCCUCAACCUAAACUAGCCUUAAACCAUCUAACCCCUCAACCUAAACUAGCCUUAAACCAUCUAACCCCUCAACCUAAACUAGACUUAAACCAUCCAACCCCUCAACCUAAACUAGACUUAAACCAUCCAACCCCUCAACCUAAACUAGCCUUAAACCAUCUAACCCCUCAGCCUAAACUAGACUUAAACCAUCUAACCCCUCAGCCUAACCUCGGACCUAAACUUAACCCUAAACCGUACCAAUUAAAACAUCCUUAAUUAUCCUUAAUCACUUUGCAAUAUUAAACUAGCUAACCCUAAAGCCUAACGUGUCCCUCGGUCUGUCCUGCAACAGACGGUGCAGAGAACCAGCUCCUGUUGUCGACCCAAACAAGUCUACUGGAGCAGUGACCUCCGCCCCAGCAUGACGACCCUGGGAUCCAACGACACACCUGUAUGCACCCAUGUGUACCAAACCCACCUAUUGUACUCCUUACACCCCUAGAAUCACACAUUCACUGGGAUUACACUGAUUUACUUCAUCCAG